AGCCGGGUUCCCCGGAUGGCCCAGCCCCUUCUCAAGUCCCCAGGUCCUCCUGGGUCGUCCCUUCCCCGUGUGACACCUCCAGUGCUGAGACCCCUGGCGCCCUCAGCCCCUCACCCCAUGGCCAGACCCACCUGGCCUCUCCCUUCCCAAGUAUCCGGGUUCACCAAGUCACUCCGUCCCUGUCCCCUCCACUCCAGGACAGUGCAGAUCUUAGUUUAAGUCAACUCCUGGCCACCGUUGCCCACCUCUACCUCCCUCCUUCCUACCUGCCCUUGGGCCUUUGCACAUGUUCUGCGUGCUGCCUCUCUCCAGCCCCUGUGGGCAGGGACUGCACCCUGCCCUGUGUGCAGUAUUUGAGGUGGGAAGCUCCCAGUGGAGUAUAGGAGGGAUGUUCCCUUCUGAACACACGAGUCCUGGGACUACCUCUUGCAUCCAGGGCCACACGCACCCUGAACUCCCUCCACCCAGCCUUAGCUAACUGCUUGAAGACCUGAGUCAGCACCACAGGACAGGCCAGCCAGUGAGAGGGCAGGACAUCCCUGCCCUGCUGUCCCCACCAGGCCGCAGGAAGGGCUGGCCCCUGAGAGAAGCAAGCACUGACUAGUGCCAAGGACAGACUGUGACCACUCCCAGCCAGUCCCUGGAGGAGUUGCAGAACCUUUCUGAUGGCUGGGGGCAAUGCAGUCCUCUGUGUGGAUGCAUCCUUGUCUUUUAUUCUGAGUCCUCAGAGAUUUCAGUCCCAGGGAUUGAACUCAGGCCUACUGCUCUAUCGCAAAAAAUUCAUUACAACCAAAUGAUCUGCAAGAGUCAGACAGAGCCCG
rnacentral:lncRNA from 1 species